CGGGCAUGUUUCGCAGGUUCUACUUCUGACGGCUCUCCUCGCUUUGCGGCGGCUUUCGGACUGUCAAUCAUGAGACGUGAUGAAGACGAGGAGGCGCUCCACCUAACAAGAUAUCAACAGGUCAAGGCUGACUUCCAUUGCGACUUCCUUGUCCACCUUCUCGCUGUGAGUAACUCUCAGCAUGUUCGCCAUCUGGUGCCUCAUUCUCCUCCACACGGCGUUGCGUUCUUUCUCCAACUCGAUUGGAGUUUGCCAUUGUGAAUGCAAUGCAGUUUUAUUUUCGAUCAAUGUGAGACUUUUUUUUGUGUGCAAUCUUAUUCAUGCGCCUGCAGGUUUGAAACGUGUCUUGCAUUUGUUUUGUGAUCCCGGAUUGUGUGUACGUGAGUGUUGGUGUGUGUGUAGUCAGUAUGUCAGUGUGUGUUUGAUACUCCAGUCCUUGUCAAUAGCGCCCUAUGCAUCUGUCCCAUAUUGUGGUCGGCAUGGUUACUGGUGUCGCUUAUCAUAGAGGGUCACACCAGAUCAAACAGGUGUUCAUCUCCAUGAUGUCUUUCCUCAACAACCGUUGCUAGGAACCUUUGUGGCAAAUCAUUGGUGAAAGGCAGCAGGCAUGCAAAAAUUAUUGUCUUGAUCUCCUUCAUAGUUUGCACUCAGGGAUGCAGGCAACUUGUUUUUCGCUAAUGCCACAUUUUUCUAUUUGUUUUGUCGGAAAUGUAUGUAUUCUAUGAGCAAAAUAAUUCUCAUCCAAAAUGCAGGAUGCUUCUUAUUCACCUGAAGGUAAAAAAUGUACUGUAUGCAAAAUUACCUCUAUUUAUUAAUGCACAUUUGCUUUAUAAGCAAACCUUUAGGGUUUUUUGGUGGGGCUAUUUAUGUAUAAUUUUGUCAAUUACACAUGACAGAUGAGCAAGCACUUUUUUAAAUAAGUUUUCACUAACCAACCGGAGCAUUAGGUAAAACUAUCAAUAGUAGAUUUAAACAUCUUAAUUUCGUUUUUGAGGGGAAAAAAAGUCUCAAAUAAAUGAAAUAAAGCUAAAUGUAUUUUAGCAGUGCAUUUGAAAGUUGCAGAAAGUGGAAAAAUAAAACAAUAAAUGAAUGAAAAAAGACAGAGAAAGUGUUCUGCGUUAUUUUAAAAAAUAU